UUGUGGGUGAACUAUUCCAGCAUUUUUUUUUUAAGGGACAGCUUUUUCCUUUUUUUAAACUCAAAACCGAAAUGUGGCGAUAACUGUACAACAGCGGUUACAUCUUGUCCUGGACUUUAAAAAAAUUGUCUGUGGCAACACUUUCUUGUAGAGAGAGAUUGACUUUGAAAUCUAUAACAAGCUCAUUGUUUAACAAUGUGGUUAUGUAAAUUUAUCAUGACUCAAAUAUCCACUUACUUCAAGUACAUAUUAUAUUCGAUGACAUCUCAGAUGUCACAUCAUAUAGACCAGGACAUGUAGACUUUUAGCUUUUGUUUUCUGUGUGUACUGUGUUUAGUGUAGGGGCUGUUGACGCUCCAGUGGGACUGACAGGGUAUCAUAAGAUCUGUUACUCACACGUUAUGGGUGUUGUUAUUGGUGUGAUAAUCAUUUUAAUGUGCCCUCUUUUAGAGAAAGCGCUACGAUGAACACAUUAAAGCCUUAACUCUGGUUAUAUUGCACAGGCUCACACACAGAUGUGCAUCAAGAGCUGUAGUGUUGUUUUAAAUUUGGUUCUUCACCUUUAUGUCGUUUAAUGUUGUUCAGUGCAUUAUUAGAUUUAAGUGUUUGGAGGGUGUUGUGUUCAAGGUGAAGAUUAUCUCACAGGGUGCUGAUCCAAAGAAUGAGAAUUGUGACUGCCAGGGUUAAUUCAUCUGAGUUCAGCUGACUCAUCUGUAAAAAUGUAUUUACAUAUCCAACUUAGCUAUGUAUUAAUAUGCAGAUUGUUUUGAAGAAUGAAGGCUUCUGCUUUAGGUUGAGGUAUAAUGAGCCAGCACAGAAAUCAAGUAAACCUUAAAAGUGCUGCCCUCUACUGGAUAUAUGAGGUUACUGGCAAGUUUUUUUUUUUUUUUUGGUUGGUUGGUUGGUUCUCCAAGUUUUUCUGUUGUGGCCAUGGUGUCAAUCUGUGUGGCUUUGUGAAUACUUUUUUUUUCUUCUUUUUUAUAUAUAUAUAUAUAUAUUUCAUGCCAUUUUGUACAUUUGCUUUACAUAUUCUGUACAUUGAAUUGAAAUCGAUUAGUGUUAAAAAUUUCAAGCCAGAAACUGGAUCUUAAAAAGAUCCAUGACAAGUGUUUUAAUAACUGUUUAAACUGUUCACUUUGUUACAACAUUUCAUUUGUUUCUGUGCCCACAUGUGAUGUAGAAUUUAGAGAUGUAGCAGAUGUUUGAAGGUUGUGGUCCAUCUGUAGUUGACAAGAAGUUCAACAAAAAUGACUGUAGUUAGCACUCCAAAAAAUCUUCAGUGUAAACAAUCAUUGGCCUCAUCCUUAGUAAAUAUGCAGAACAGAACGUUUGAUACCAUGUAAUGAUCCAUAUUUUUUUGCUAGUAUUAGACCAGUAUUUUGGGCUGGUCUGCAACCUUUUAAGUGUGAUGCUGUAAUACAAGUUGAGGGACAGCAACACUUCAGCCAAAUGGAGGGGAAGAUUCAAAAUAGUUGUUUGUAAUGUUUAGUUUCAAUAUAAUCAAUGUAAUCUUUCAUUCUCCAAAAUUAUACUUCACUGUAAAAUAAAAUACAGGUCAAUUUACUU